CCUACGGGCUGCAGCAGUGAGGAAUAUUGGUCAAUGGACGCAAGUCUGAACCAGCCAUGCCGCGUGCAGGAUGACGGCUCUAUGAGUUGUAAACUUCUUUUGUACGAGGGUAAAAUCCGGUACGUGUAUCUGGCUGAAAGUAUUUUACGAAUAAGGAUCGGCUAACUCCGUGCCAGCAGCCGCGGUAAUACGGAGGAUCCGAGCGUUAUCCGGAUUUAUUGGGUUUAAAGGGUGCGUAGGCGGGUUGAUAAGUUAGAGGUGAAAUGUCGGGGCUCAACCCCGAAACAGCCUCUAAAACUGUUGGACUAGAGAAUAGUUGAGGUAGGCGGAAUGUAUGGUGUAGCGGUGAAAUGCUUAGAGAUCAUACAGAACACCGAUUGCGAAGGCAGCUUACCAAACUAUAUCUGACGUUGAGGCACGAAAGCGUGGGUAGCGAACAGGAUUAGAUACCCCAGUAGUC
rnacentral:rRNA from 1 species